rnacentral:rRNA from 1 species
CCUACGGGAGGCAGCAGUGAGGAAUAUUGGUCAAUGGGCGCGAGCCUGAACCAGCCAAGUAGCGUGAAGGAUGACUGUCCUACGGGUUGUAAACUUCUUUUAUAAAGGAAUAAAGUGAGGCACGUGUGCCUUGUUGUAUGUACUUUAUGAAUAAGGAUCGGCUAACUCCGUGCCAGCAGCCGCGGUAAUACGGAGGAUCCGAGCGUUAUCCGGCUUUAUUGGGUUUAAAGGGGGCGUAGAUGGGUUGUUAAGUCAGUUGUGAAAGUUUGCGGCUCAAACGUAAAAUUGCAAUUGAUACUGGCAGUCUUGAGUACAGUUGAGGUAGGCGGAAUUCGUGGUGUAGCGGUGAAAUGCUUAGAUAUCACGAAGAACACCGAUUGCGAAGGCAGCUUACUAAACUGCCACUGACAUUGAUGCUCGAAAGUGUGGGUAGCAAACAGGAUUAGAUACCCUGGUAGUC